CCAACUGUUGCCUCGGGGAUUUCUGCCCCGGGUGCGUCGCAGCCCCGGACCAAGGCGCCCGCGGGAGGACCAACCAAAACUCUUAUUGUAUACCCCCUCGCGGGUUUUUUUAUAAUCUGAGCCUUCUCGGCGCCUUUCGUAGGCGUUUCGAAAAUGAAUCAAAACUUUCAACAACGGAUCUCUUGGUUCUGGCAUCGAUGAAGAACGCAGCGAAAUGCGAUAAGUAAUGUGAAUUGCAGAAUUCAGUGAAUCAUCGAAUCUUUGAACGCACAUUGCGCCCGCCAGUAUUCUGGCGGGCAUGCCUGUCCGAGCGUCAUUUCAACCCUCGAACCCCUCCGGGGGGUCGGCGUUGGGGAUCGGCCCUCCCUUAGCGGGUGGCCGUCUCCGAAAUACAGUGGCGGUCUCGCCGCAGCCUCUCCUGCGCAGUAGUUUGCACACUCGCAUCGGGAGCGCGGCGCGUCCACAGCCCGUUAAACACCCA
rnacentral:rRNA from 1 species